UACGGAGGGUGCAAACGUUGCUCGGAAUUAUUGGGCGUAAAGCGCACGUAGGCGGUCCAGCAAGUCGGGUGUGAAAGCCCUCGGCUUAACCGAGGAAGUGCAUUCGAAACUACUGGACUUGAAUACUGGAGAGGAUCGCGGAAUUCCCGGUGUAGAGGUGAAAUUCGUAGAUAUCGGGAGGAACACCAGUGGCGAAGGCGGCUUUCUGGACGACAACUGACGCUGAGACGCGAAAGCGUGGGGAGCAAACAGG
rnacentral:rRNA from 1 species